AUCGCAUCUCUCAAAACCAUUGUUUGCUAUAUUAACUGCCCAUCAGAAUUCAAAUCGCGAUUCUGUCUUGGACAGCCGAUUGAAAAUCGCCAGGUAGCUAUGGAAGCUAUAUUAUUCCAUUGUCCACGUGUAAUGUUUACACUCUAUUUGGCGCCAUGAUAGGCGUUGUUAGAAGUAAGAUGUAUUAUAUUUAAUCACCUCAUACAAAAAUACAUCUAAAAUUGCUAUUUAUCUCUCUCACUCUAACGUGUAAUUCACGGCUGUGAUUCCAUCCAUUGAUUAGAAAAAUUGUUGAUUGAAAUCAUAUGUCACAUUAUUUUCUACUGUUUUUCUCAAUCAUAAGUUAGCAAUAUCAUAGCUUUUUAAUAUAUUGAUUUAUUUUUUAUCUUUACAUUAUUGCAAAUCCACAUCAACGCCUAAUAUUUAAAAUACAAUAAGCAUUCGAUUUGAGUACAUAAUAACGCGCAUUUAUUCGCUUAGUUGACUGAUCCACAGGGGGCAGUCAAGGGAGAACUUAUCAAGAUAAACUGACAAUGAGACCACCCACAAUGGUCACUACCACCGAACAUAUGUACCGGAUUAGUAGGUCCAACCCAUAAAAAUUAAAUUGGUCGCAUAAACAUUGACCCAAUGUCGCCAUCGACAACCCACAAUGCGUAGUUUAAUCUCGUGUUAUAGUUAUAGCUUGCUUAAAAUUCCGCAAUGUAUCCGUCAUCGAUUGGCCGCAAACUUUGAUCCAACAUGUGUUUAGCCGAAUUGAGGCAAAUGUGUGUUAUCUGUUAUCAAUCUAGUAAUUAUAACUAUAAAGGCUAUAAAGAAGCGGUCCAUUGGAUUAAUUGAAUUUCUAUUUAGCGUACCGAGUCUAAAAGUAAUUUCUUAGUCAGCGGAAUUGGGUGCCCUCAUAUCAUAUUGAAAUUGCUAGAAAGAGAAAAGUGGUAAAUAUUUUUUUUUUAUUCAUUUAAUUAUUUAUUACUUUACCAGUGGCCCGUUUGGGCUUGGCUUGGGUGGUAUAAAAAUAGAUACUAACAGCCUAUUCUCAGAUCUACUGAUUGAUUAUACAUAUUAAAUUUCAUCAAAACCUAUAGUCAAGGAAUUUAUGUGUACCAUGCCAACCAUAAAUACACCUAAAAAAAUGCUCGACCUACUUGAAAAGUGCAGGCAACCAAACUAUAAAAAGAACAUUACAGUCAUUAUCCAUAUGUCAAAAAGUCAAUUUACUAAUGUCAAAUUCUUGUAACAAAAACACACAAGGCAACAAUCGUAACUGUAAAAAAUUUACAAAAAAUAUGUAAAGUUAGGAAAUCUGUGAAAGAUCGCCGCGACGAUGAUAAAUAUACUGCAGAUAUUCGUUGCGGUGGUUACCUUCUUGCUGUUCCUCCUCAGACAGAAAUGUCCGUUUUCACAAAUACGUUCAAAAUUGGGUAGACCCAUAUCCUACUAUCAAGACUGUUCCAACGGCCAGGAUAAUUCAGACGAUACAACCAACUACGUGGUGCUGCGACCCCGCUACGAUUGGUCAUCAACAAAUAGAUCAAGUAUUAUGCCUAAGCACAAACGUGAUCCCCAAAUAAGCGUCGACAAUGAGGAUAUAGACUACCAACCAUUGGAUUAAUAUACUGAUAUAACAAUAUAUUUAUUCAACUGUAACAAUUUAUAUAUUCAACUGUAUUUUAAUUUUAUUGAGAAAUAAUUUGAUCCGA